GAUUUCUCGAAACAAACUUAAGUCUGAGUUUUGUUAAGUUAGAGUUUUUUACUCAAAUUUGAGAAAACGCAGGAAAAUGCAAUUCCCAAAAUGAACUGAAAUCUAUAUUAAACUCCAACAAAGUAGACAAUUUGAGUUUGUAGGAUAGAUUACUUAAGUUGUUUGGGCUAUUUUAUUUUUAAAAUGCAGUUGAGUUAAAAAUUCAGCUGUUUCAAUUGUCAAACUCAGUUUGAAAUUUGAGUAAAAUCUUAAGUUUGUUUCGACAAAUCGGGGCCAGGUCUUACUCUUGAGGCAGAACUUUGA